rnacentral:rRNA from 1 species
ACGCUCGACACCUACGUGAGGCAGCAGUGGGGAAUAUUGCACAAUGGGGGAAACCCUGAUGCAGCGACGCCGCGUGAGCGAAGAAGUAUUUCGGUAUGUAAAGCUCUAUCAGCAGGGAAGAAAGUGACGGUACCUGACUAAGAAGCACCGGCUAAAUACGUGCCAACAGCCGCGGUAAUCUGAGCGGGCUGGCAAGGC